rnacentral:lncRNA from 1 species
UCCCAGAGUUUCCUUCUUUCUAACUUUUUCGAGAUAGGGGUCUUGCUAUGCUGCCCAGGUUGGUCUCAAAUUCCCGGCCUCAAGCAGUCCUCCCGCCUCAGCCUCUAAGGUAGCUGGGAUUACAGGCGCCCCCCACUGCUCCCAGCUCCCUAGCGUUUGUGACUCAGUGGGCUUGGGCUGGGGCCUGGAAGUAUUUCUAACAAGGGGAUGCUGAUGCUGGGCUCUGGGGACCGUAUUUAAACCUAUGUGGAUGUGUAUUCAGUUACUUAUAUAGAAAGUUGGGGAUUCUAGAAACAGAACCACUAAUUAAGAAACGUAAUUAAUUGGGGCUUCAUAACUAAAACAUGUCAUGGUUUGGCAGAACUGAAAGGGGCCAGGGUUUUAGCCAUGUUGGCAGAGGGCAGGCAAAAGAGAUGGUGGGUGAGGAGCGUGUUAAGAGCUUACAUUGAUUGACUGAGCACCUACAGGAUGUCCUGUCCAUGAAAUAGGAAUCACAUCAUUCCUGCCUACAUAUAGGACACAACACUGCAGAAAGAUUUCUCAUCGCCAAGGCCCCACAGGGUGGCUUUCAUGGGAUUUGAAGCCAGGCAGCUUAGAGGAAACAUUUCCCCCAUCACUACUAAGCCUGGGCUGGGAGUGAUGUCCUGUAAAGGGGGCCCUGCCGGUCCCCUUGCUGGACUCUUGCUGGUCAUUUUAUGCCCAGUGUGGAAUUCCAUGACUGUGUCUUGACUUGGGCAUGGCAUCUCCAAGAGGCCCCAGGCGCACACGGCCUGUCUUCCUGCAGCAA